CUGAGGGAAGGGUUAGUUGGGGUAAUUCAAGUUUGGUUUAGGAGUGGGGUGGGGGGAUAGGAAGGUACUAGCGCUGAGGCCAUGAAGGGUUAAUUCCACAUAGGGUUAAGGUGGCUCGAAUUGUGGACCGAAGUAUAACGAACGUGCCAUCCAGCCGCAUCCAGCUCAUGACGGCCCCUUCCAUGGGGAGUUCCGGGCGUGAGAUGAGUAGAAGUGGUUUGCCACCGGCUUCUUCCGCGUAGCGAUCCCUAGUCUUCCUUAGUGGUCUUCUAUUCAAGUACUGUCCGUCCCCGCUUAGUUCCCAAGUUCUGACUAGCUCGGCCCAAACUGGGCUGAGGAUGUUCCUCAGCAAAAGCUACAGAAAGGUUCUGGGACUGGGAUCAGUUGUGCAAAGAAGUAAUAGAUCUUCGGUGUAAAUGAUUUCCCAGUGCACUUUUUUUAGGGGCUGGGCGGGGGAUGGAGAAAUGUUAAAGAAAGGGAAUGUAGGGCGGGAGUAAUAAUAUUAAUAAUUAUUCUGAUGAUCUCAUGGAGAGAGAUGAAUCAGUUCCUGAGUCGAGAAAAAGGCGCGCGCGCAUGCAGGCAAAUUCUGAAAGAGGGAAGCGGGUUUGAAACCUCUUGCUGGGUCCUUCUGCCGAGAACCGGCGCCUUCCUCUCACGUCUGCGGUGGCAUCUGGGAACUGAUGGAAGCCUCUGAUUUGUGUGGGUAUCAACCAACUGUGAAAAACAGCUGCCCAAGCUGCAACCGUGGUGGGGAAACGCUGCAGCCCUUCAGCGAAGCAAAUCCAUACAGAGGGAGAAAAGAACAGGGAAUCUCAAGAAAAUAAAUAAUGAACCUGUAACUUGACCUUUAGGUGUGCACAUUGAAAGCCCUAUGAGAGUAAGAAAUUUCCUUUGCUCAUAUCACAAUUGAUAGGAAUCUUGAAGGAACUGGAAGCGAUGCAUGGGAUGGAAGCAAACUUGCCCUGCUGUGAUGUGAUAUUGUGGUUAGACUGUUGGGGGCCAUGUUCAGAUCCCCACUGUACCAUGGAAGCUCCCUGUGUGAACUCGAACCGGUCACACUCUCACAGCCUAAGCAACCUCACUGAGUAGGGUCUUUUGAGGAUAAAAUGGAAGAGGAGAGAAUUAUGUUGAAAGUAGACAUGGGCACGAACAGCAUUACGAACUAAAAAAACCCACGAACAGCCCAUUAGUCUUUUCAUGAGGCCCCAUUCUAAACAAAUAAGUGGUUGUUGCAAACCUCCUUGGUUGCCUUCGUCAGCCGUUCGUCAAGCCAGACAGUCUGGCACCUGCAAUCAAUUCUCUUGGCAACUGGAGGCAGGGACUGACUCUGUCUGAACUCCUUCUGGCUUUCCUUCUGGCUUUAACCCUUCAAAGUACUUCCAGCAGAGAGUCCCGUUUUUGCCACUGUGAAGAGAAAAUGACAGCCAAGGGGGAGACCCGUGGAUCAUUCCCAGGGUGCAAUUUCUCUGAAACUUGGGGGGGUCUUCAAAGGACAGUGAGGACUAUGUCCCCUGCAAAUUUGGUGGGUAUUGGACAUUGGGAAGGUCAGUUGGUAACCCCUCAAACUAGCUGCUAGCAGACACUGCUGUUUUUGCCAG